rnacentral:rRNA from 1 species
GGACCCGCACAAGCAGUGGAGCAUGUGGUUUAAUUCGACGCAACGCGAAGAACCUUACCAGCGUUUGACAUGGGAAGUACCGGUUACAGAAUGGUAACCUUCAGUUCGGCUGGCUUCCGCACAGGUGCUGCAUGGCUGUCGUCAGCUCGUGUCGUGAGAUGUUGGUUAAGUCCCGCAACGAGCGCAACCCUUAUCGUUAGUUACUAACAGUUCGGCUGAGGACUCUAGCGAAACUGCCGGUGAUAAGCCGGAGGAAGGUGGGGAUGACGUCAAGUCCUCAUGGCCCUUACACGCUGGGCUACACACGUGCUACAAUGGCUAAUACAGAGGGCGGCAAACCCGCGAGGGGGGAGCG